rnacentral:rRNA from 1 species
GAUGAACGCUGGCGGCGUGCCUAAUACAUGCAAGUCGAGCGAACAGACGAGGAGCUUGCUCCUCUGACGUUAGCGGCGGACGGGUGAGUAACACGUGGAUAACCUACCUAUAAGACUGGGAUAACUUCGGGAAACCGGAGCUAAUACCGGAUAAUAUAUUGAACCGCAUGGUUCAAUAGUGAAAGACGGUUUUGCUGUCACUUAUAGAUGGAUCCGCGCCGCUUUAGCUAGUUGGUAAGGUAACGGCUUACCAAGGCAACGAUGCGUAGCCGACCUGAGAGGGUGAUCGGCCACACUGGAACUGAGACACGGUCCAGACUCCUACGGGAGGCAGCAGUAGGGAAUCUUCCGCAAUGGGCGAAAGCCUGACGGAGCAACGCCGCGUGAGUGAUGAAGGUCUUCGGAUCGGAAAACUCUGUUAUUAGGGAAGAACAAAUGUGUAAGUAACUAUGCACGUCUUGACGGUACCUAAUCAGAAAGCCACGGCUAACUACGUG